CAGUGGUAGCAUGAAGCAAUAACAGAGUUGAGUCUACAGACAAUCACGUCACAGGAAGGUUGCAGAUGGACCGUGAAGACAGUGCACCCUCUUCCUCCCGUAGUGUGGCCAUGGGUGCAAGGCUGCUCUUCUGUGUAGCAGUUUGUCUCCUUGAGGCUGGAUCUUUUGAUGCCAAAGUAACUCAGACUCCAGGAUAUCUGGUCAAGGAGAAAGGACAGAAAGCAAAUAUGAGCUGCACCCCUGAAAAAGGACAUACUGCCUUUUUCUGGUAUCAACAGAACGAAAAAAGAGAACUUAAAUUUUUGAUUAACUUUCGAAAUGAAGAAAUUAUUGAUCAAACAGACUUGGUCAAGAAGCGAUUCUUAGCUAAGUGCCGCUCAAACUCACACUGCAGCCUGGAAAUCCAGUCCUCAGAGGCAGGAGACUCAGCACUAUACCUCUGUGCCAGCAGUGAAUACACAGCGCUGAAAUGCUCUUUCGGUGCCAGUGUUGUCCAGACUCCAACAGGUCUUGUCCAAGAGAAAGGAGAAAAAAGCAAAGAUGAGCUACAAAGUUCUGCAAAGGAGUACACUGCUGUUUAUUGGUACCAACAAAGGCGGAACAAAGAGCCAAGUUUCUUGGUUUACUUUGAGAGUCAACAAGUUAUUGAACAAAUAGACUUGGUCAAAGAAUGA